AUUGAACGCUGGCGGCAGGCCUAACACAUGCAAGUCGAGCGAGCGGCGGACGGGUGAGUAAUGUAUGGGGAUCUGCCCGAUAGAGGGGGAUAACUACUGGAAACGGUAGCUAAUACCGCAUACUAUCGGAUGAACCCAUAUGGGAUUAGCUAGUUGGUGGGGUAAAGGCUCACCAAGGCGACGAUCGCUAGCUGGUCGGAGAGGAUGAUCAGCAACACUGGGACGGAGACACGGCCCAGACUCCUACGGGAGGCAGCAGUGGGGAAUCUUGCAAAAUGGGCGCAAGCCGGAUUCACCCAUGCCGCGUGUAUGAAGAAGGCCUUCGGGUUGUAAAGUACUUUCAGCGGGGAGGCGUUACCCGCAGAAGAAGCACCGGCUAACUCCGUGCCAGCCGCCGCGGUAAUUC
rnacentral:rRNA from 1 species